rnacentral:rRNA from 1 species
UACGUAGGGGGCAAGCGUUGUCCGGAAUCAUUGGGCGUAAAGAGCGUGUAGGCGGCCAGGUAGGUCUGCUGUGAAAACUCGAGGCUCAACCUCGAGACGUCGGCGGAAACCAUCUGGCUAGAGUCCGGAAGAGGAGAGUGGAAUUCCUGGUGUAGCGGUGAAAUGUGUAGAGAUCGGGAGGAACACCGGUGGCGAAGGCGGGUCUCUGGGCAUCUCCUGACGCUGAGGCGCGAAAGCGUGGGAAGCAAACGGG